GUGGGGAAUCUUUGACAAUGGGGGCAACCCUGAUCUAGCCAUGCCGCGUGAGUGAUGAAGGCCUUAGGGUCGUAAAGCUCUUUCGCCGGGGAAGAUAAUGACUGUACCCGGUAAAGAAACCCCGGCUAACUCCGUGCCAGCAGCCGCGGUAAUACGGAGGGGGUUAGCGUUGUUCGGAAUUACUGGGCGUAAAGCGCGCGUAGGCGGAUCGGAAAGUUGGGGGUGAAAUCCCGGGGCUCAACCCCGGAAUUGCCUUCAAAACUCCCGGUCUUGAGGUCGAGAGAGGUGAGUGGAAUUCCGAGUGUAGAGGUGAAAUGCGUAGAUAUCAUCCAGAACACCGAUUGCGAAGGCAGGUGGCUGUACCUUAAUCGACGCUGAUGCACGAAAGCAUGGGGAGCAAACAGGAUUAGAUACCCGAGUAGUCC
rnacentral:rRNA from 1 species